rnacentral:rRNA from 1 species
UACGAACCGAGCGAACGUUAUUCGGAAUCACUGGGCUUAAAGGGCGCGUAGGCGGGCCGCCAAGUCAGGGGUGAAAGCCCCCAGCUCAACUGGGGAAGUGCCUUUGAUACUGGCGGUCUCGAGGGGGAUAGGGGCGUGCGGAACUUCCGGUGGAGCGGUGAAAUGCGUAGAUAUCGGAAGGAACACCGGUGGCGAAAGCGGCGCGCUGGAUCCAUUCUGACGCUGAGGCGCGAAAGCCAGGGGAGCGAACGGG